AUACGUAGGUGGCAAGCGUUGUCCGGAAUUAUUGGGCGUAAAGCGCGCGCAGGUGGUUCCUUAAGUCUGAUGUGAAAGCCCCCGGCUCAACCGGGGAGGGUCAUUGGAAACUGGGGAACUUGAGUGCAGAAGAGGAUAGUGGAAUUCCAAGUGUAGCGGUGAAAUGCGUAGAGAUUUGGAGGAACACCAGUGGCGAAGGCGACUGUCUGGGCUGUAACUGACACUGAGGCGCGAAAGCGUGGGGAGCAAACAGGAUUAGAUACCCGGGUAGUCCACGCCGUAAACGAUGAGUGCUAAGUGUUGGGGGGUUGCCGCCCCUCAGUGCUGCAGCUAACGCAUUAAGCACUCCGCCUGGGGAGUACGGUCGCAAGACUGAAACUCAAAUGAAUUGACGGGG
rnacentral:rRNA from 1 species